rnacentral:rRNA from 1 species
GAUGAACGCUAGCUACAGGCUUAACACAUGCAAGUCGAGGGGAAACGAUAGAGAAAGCUUGCUUUUUCUAGGCGUCGACCGGCGCACGGGUGAGUAACGCGUAUCCAACCUGCCCACCACUUGGGGAUAACCUUGCGAAAGUAAGACUAAUACCCAAUGACGUCUCUAGAAGACAUCUGAAAGAGAUUAAAGAUUUAUCGGUGAUGGAUGGGGAUGCGUCUGAUUAGCUUGUUGGCGGGGUAACGGCCCACCAAGGCGACGAUCAGUAGGGGUUCUGAGAGGAAGGUCCCCCACAUUGGAACUGAGACACGGUCCAAACUCCUACGGGAGGCAGCAGUGAGGAAUAUUGGGUCAAUGGACGAGAGUCUGACGGAGCAACGCCGCGUGAGUGAUGACGGCCUUCGGGUUGUAAGCUCCUGUUAAUCGGGACGAAAGGCCUUCUUGCG